rnacentral:rRNA from 1 species
UAGGGAAUCUUCCACAAUGGACGAAAGUCUGAUGGAGCAACGCCGCGUGAGUGAAGAAGGGUUUCGGCUCGUAAAACUCUGUUGUUAAAGAAGAACAUAUCUGAGAGUAACUGUUCAGGUAUUGACGGUAUUUAACCAGAAAGCCACGGCUGACUACGUGCCA